GGUUUCACAAAACUGACGGCGCAGGAUCGACCAUGAAACCCCAGCUUCCAGGACGCCGGACCACUCGCCAGGUAUCCGGUUCUCACGACUCCCUGGUCGCCACGUGGAAUAAGGCGGUGGCGCCGGAGUCUUGAGGCCCGGUACGGGAUCACUUGAGAGGAGAUCCUGGAGCCGGCGGAGGCGGCGAUUGGGAUCGCGAACGGGGACGCGGUGGUGAUCCAAGUAGGGAGAAGGGCCGGCGAGCAGAGCGUAGUCACCGUCAACUGCCCCGAUCAGAUUGGCCUCAGAUGCGACCUCUGUCGCGUCUGCAUCAUUCGAGGAGGUGAAGAAGAUGCUUCUCAUGUUCUUUGUGAGCUUGAGCUUAUGGUUCACAGAGUAAAGGUUUCCACAACUCCAGAUGAUUGAGUCAUCGACGUUUUCAUUAUUACAGAUGGCAUAUGAGUAAUCAUCUACUGAGUUUGGCUUCCUAUUGUCAAUAGAUGUAUUUCGUAGCUGUUAAUCUAUCAGAUAUUUGAUUAGCUUUGACAUCACUAUAAGUUUCUCCAAAGUGUUAUUAUACCAAGACUGACCUUUUUCUGUAUCAACAAGGAAUGCUUUAAUCUUA